UCGGGUGGCGAGCGGCGAACGGCUGAGUAACACGUUGGAACAUACCCCAGAGUGAGGGAUAACCCCGUGAAAACGGGACUAAUACCGCAUAACCCCGCAAGGGAAAAGCUACGGCGCUUUGGGAGUGGCCUGCGGCCUAUCAGUUAGUUGGUGAGGUAAAAGCUCACCAAGACUAUGACGGGUAUCUGGUGUGAGAGCACGACCAGACAGAAUGGGACUGAGACACGGCCCAUACUCC
rnacentral:rRNA from 1 species